GUAAGUUGGCCGGAUGAUGGUUCCAUUCCAAACACUUGUAUUUUACGAGCUUGCUGUGGGGCUCAAUUUUUUUGGACCCGUGAGCAAGGUCUUCAGUUUGCACAUGGCUGUUGGAAAAUACAUUCAGCCCUUUGAGAGGAAAGUUCUUUGCUCACGUUUCUGAGCUCUAAAACAGACUUCUAGUCUACACUGACCCACAGCUUUGAAGUCAGUGUCUCAGAUUACUGGCUGUGUGAGAGCUAUAUACCAUAUGGGAGCUGAGAUCCUAUAUAUAUAUACCCAGCAAGUUCCCCAGGUGUGGACUGGCUCAACACUCCCCUCUAGAUACCAACGAACAAACAAAUAAAUCCAUGUGUUUAUGUGUGUGUGUGUGUGUGUGUGUGUGUAUGUGUGUGUGGCAAUAAUACUCUUAAAAUUGAGUUGAAAUGGGAGGGUGGUAUUUGAUGGUAUUCAUGGCAUUUUGACACUUAGUCCUGACUGUAGGUACAGAACAAACGAAGGGAAUGCCUCUUGAUUAGCGGAAGCUGUCACCCAAAGCCCUAAGUGAGCUCAGGUCCUCUUGCAUGUCUGUGAGGUUGGCUGGGUAUCUCCCAUGCAGCUGGAGGUCUUAAGAAUCAAUGCAUCUGUGUCCAAGGAGUGGGGAAUCCAAGACCAUAAACCAUGAAGCGCUGGAGCGGCAGAGCAAGAACGGAAGAGCCCAACCCUGAGUCUGUUUAACCUCAAUUCACUAAGCCUCCUGGUAAAGGCAGUUUGACCUUAGCUGUGAAGCAUCGUAUCAGAAAGAGCACCCCCUAGUGUUAGGAUGUGCUCAUGAAAAUGACCGAGAGAUUGUCCAGGAUAGAAAGGCCCUGGCUUGCCAUGCAGCAACAGAGAGAGACUUUCUAGGGUUGCCGAUAGACUGAAUUCAGUUGGAAUAUUCCUUUCAUGAUGAUGUGUAGGAGGAAAUUCUUCCUCUUCCUACGUGAAUAUCGGGUUUGUCUGAAGGGAAUUUUUCGUCUGCAUAGUUUGCCAUUCUCUCCAACUGUAAAUGU
rnacentral:lncRNA from 1 species